GUUUGCACUUGUCGGGGAAGGGUGAGAACCUUCGAUUAAGGUUCGACUCGAGCGAAAGCGAGAGAACGUUGCCAACGGCAAGGGCCCGUAGGGUGAGGAGCGAAGCGACGAAUAAUCCUUCCCCCACCACCA
rnacentral:sRNA from 2 species